CCUCCAAAUAUCUCUUCCUCCAGAUACAUCAUCGUCUCUCUACACAAUAGAUACGAUACGAACAGAAAUUGAUACCCUAACCCAAUACGAACAGAUACAUCGAUAUCUCUAAUAUCUCUACACAACAAAUACGAUACGAACCAGAGAUCGAUACCCUAAUCGGAGAAAGUGUAUGACCGUCGUUGAAAAUUCGUGGCUGUGAAUCGCGAUCCAUCUCACAACAAUACGAACCACUCUCUUCACAACAGAGAUCGAUCUUCCCCGUAUUUUAAGGGAGAUAAAAAUCUUGCCAAGUUUAGGGACUUAAAUUUGGAGAUUUAUCAAGUGUAUUAUGAGCCUUUAUUUUGGGAUUCCAUUGUCGUUGGAGAUAAGACUAAGGCUCCCGUUGAAUGACAAAACAAUAGCGGUCCAACUCAUGUUGAAGAUGAAGAAGAUCAUGAGGGGAAAGGAGAUAGCGAUGAAGUGAAUUUAGGCGACGAUGAUAAACACCUUUUCCCUCAAAGUAGUUCGAGUAAAAGGAAGAAGCCGAAUAAUGUCGCACCUACCCGUUCAACCAAGGGAAAAUCUUCUGUAACUUCCUUAUUUGAGGAUAAACUAGAUAAUAUAUUUGAGGCACUAUCAUCACGAAGCACACAAACUUUUUCAUCAAAGAAUAAUGACUCACCAACGACACAAGAAUGCAUGGACAUUGUGACAUGUUUUCCAGAAUUUAAAGAAGGUUCAAGGAUGUAUAGCCAAGCAUUACACAUCUUCCUAAAAAAGCAAGUCCGUGAAAAUUUUAUGGUUCCAAAGACAUGCAUGGCAAGGAUGGAGUUUCUUAAGUUACUUAUGGAUGAAUGAUUCAUAUCGUGUUUUCCCCAUUUGAUUUUAUCUAUCCCUUUUUAGGAUGAUGUUUCACAUUAUCGUUUAAUAUUGUGAUAUUAUGUUUUCAACUGGUUUCAUAUCCUGUAUUAUCGUUUGACAUUAUGUAUGACGUUGGACAUUAUCUAUGGCGUUUGAUAUUAUCUAUCCUUU